rfam:Triticum aestivum genome assembly, contig: Triticum_aestivum_CS42_TGACv1_scaffold_569799_7AS
AUACCGUUCUCGGCCUUUUGGCUAAGAUCAAGUGUAGUAUCUGUUCUUAUCAGUUUAAUAUCUGAUAUGUGGGUCAUGUGCCCACAACGAUAUUAAAUUUAUUUUUUAUGGGGGAGGGUCCAUCAUAGUGGCUUGCUGCUAGGGCCCUCAGGUGUCACCUGGGCGUUGCACUACAGCCCAGGCUGGCGCACCCCAA